AUGCAGUUCGCCACAGGGGCGAUGAGCUCUCUGCUUCCCAAGCUGGGGGAGCUACUCAAGGAGGAGUACAACCUGCAGAAGCGUUUGAAGAAGGGGAUCAGGGACCUGAAGGAUGAGCUCCUGGUCAUAGAAGUUGCGCUCCUGAAGGUGUCCGACGUGCCACUAGACAAGCUUGAUCCGCUGGUCAAAAUUUGGGCAAACGAUGUCAGGGAGCUGUCCUAUGCCAUCGAGGACAGCCUUGACUCCUUCAUGGUGCGUGUUGAAGGUGUUGAGCCUACCAAGCCACACACCUUCUUCGGGUUCAUCAAGAAGACCUGCAAGAAGGCCACCAAGCUCAAGAUUCGUCGCAAAAUAGCCAACGACAUCAAUGACGUCAAGAUCCAAGUUAAGGAGGUGAAGGAGCGGUAUGACAGAUACAAAGAUGUUAUUGGUAAUACUAAUGCCAAAACAGAAGUCGAUCCACGUCUCUUGGCCAUGUGCAGCAAAGUAUCUGACCUUGUUGGCAUUGAAAAGUCAAUGGAUGAGAUAACAGAGAGGUUGUCUAAGGGCGAUGAUCCGUCCAGUGAAAAGCUCAAGGUUGUCUCUGUUGUUGGAUUUGGAGGAUUGGGCAAGACAACUCUUGCUAAAGCUGUGUAUGACAAGCUUAAAAAGAAUUUUGAUUGUUGGGUUUUUGUUCCGGUGGGUCAAAGUCCAGACACAAAGAAAGUUCUGAGGGAUGUCCUCCUUCAACUUGACAUGGAGCUGUACAAAGCUUCAGCAACAAUGGAUGAAUGGCAGCUGAUAAACCAGCUGCAGACAUUCCUAGUAGGCAAGAGGUACAUUUUUGUUAUGGAUGACAUAUGGGAUAUACGAACAUGGGAAGUGAUUAAAUGUGCUUUCAUGGACAGUCAUCCGGAAAGUAGAUUAAUCAUAACUACUCGUAUUGUUGAUGUUGCCACAAAAGCUGGUGGUAUCUACAACAUGGAAGAACUUUCUAAUGAUAACUCAGAAAUAUUAUUCUAUACAAGAACAUGUGGUGGUGAAGGACUAAAUUCAUCUAACCAACAUGUUGAGGUGACUAACAAAAUUUUGAAGAAAUGUGGCGGUGUGCCAUUAGCUAUUAUUACAAUUGCCAGCUUGCUUGUUGGAAAGCAGAGUGAGGAUUGGUCUAAGGUGUAUGAUGCCAUUGGUUUUGGGCAUGAGGACAGCGAAGUUGUUCAGAACACAAGAAAGAUAUUGUCUUUUAGUUAUUAUGAUCUACCUUCGCAUCUGAAGACGUGUUUAUUGUAUCUAAGUAUGUUCCCUGAAGAUAGCUUUAUUGAAAAAAACUCACUCAUAUGGAAGUGGGUCUCUGAUGGUUUUGUCCCAGAUAGGUCAUUUCAGUUAGGAGAGAGCUACUUCAGCAUGCUAGUAAAUAGAAGCAUGAUCCGGUGGAUAGAUGAUAGUGAUUAUGUGGGUGGCCAAAGUGGUUGUCGUGUUCAUGACAUGGUGCUCGAUCUCAUCCGCACCAUAUCAAAUGAGGUAAACUUUGUCACAGUACAUGAUAUGGAGCAUCACGGCACAUGUUUGGGAGGAAAGUCAACCAACAAGGUUCGUAGAUUAGCAGUUCAUGGAAAAAGUGGGGAACACAACUGUAGCAUUGCAAUGGAGCACGUAAGGUCAUUUAAUGUUGUCGAGUGCAGUGCCAAUAGUAUUCCCCUGCUUUUGAGCUUUAAAGUAUUGCGUGUGCUAGUUAUUGAGGACUGUGUCUUUUCAGAAGGUAGUAGUCUUGAGCAUCUCGGUAAGUUGGUGCAGCUGAGGUACCUGGGGCUAGUGAAGACAGCGGUCAAGAUCCCGGAAGGAAUAGGGCAUGAUCUGAAGUUUCUUGAGAUACUGGAUGUAAGGGGAGGUUUGAUAAGUGAGCUGCCGGCAUCUGUUGGUGAGCUAAUGAAUUUGAGGUGCUUGUGGGCUGAUCAGGGUACAGUGAUGAAGGGUGAGAUAGGGAAACUGAAAUACCUUGAAGAGCUGCAGCUAUAUUCAGUGGAGAAGUGCCCAAACUUCUUCACGGAGGUGGGGAAGCUGACAAACUUAAGGGUACUCAAGAUCUAUUUUGGUGAAAUAGAGGAGUCUGCAGGCAAGUCUCUGAUGGAGUCUCUGUGCAACAUGCAAAAGAUUCAUAAUCUGAUGAUUGUGGAUGAUGAUCGUGGGGCUAAGUAUUCGGUUGUCGUCAAUCAUAGCUUGGAAGACUUUGCACCCUGUACAAAGCUUUUCGAGUUACUUCUGCCUAUCAUAGUUAUACCGAGGGUGCCAUCAUGGAUCAAUCAAUUAACUGUUCCACUCCUUUCUCAUCUAUGUCUGCAUGUGGAUGCGGUAGAAGUUCGGGAUGUUCAAACCAUCGGCAGGUUGCCGUCGCUCCUCGUCCUUUUUCUCUGGAGUACGGAUGAUAAUAACAUAUCAUAUACUUUUGGCAGCAAUGUGUUUCACAAGAUGAGAUGGUUGUGGACGAAGAAGAUAAAGAUCGCUGUUGGAGAAGGAGCACUGCCGAUGCUUGAACGCAUGUUAUACAGUGCAAGCGCUGAAAGAAAGGACGCUGCCAGCUUGGUGCCGUGGGGGAGAAAUAGCUGCCCUUUGCUGAAGUAUGUCAUCUGUUACCUUGACUGCACUAACAGCAGCUACAGGGAAGUAGAGGAAGCGAAGCAGGCGCUGAUGCAGGCUUCCGGCACCCGUCCCAAUGCUGUGUAUCUCGAUCUCGACAUAGAAGAAGAAAACUACGAUGAGGAGGCAGGUAAAUUCAUUGAUAAUCUGGAGUGGAUCCUACGUGGUUUGGACAGACCCGAGGAUAUGGGCCGUCCUCCUGCACACCAGGAAGGAAGGACACGUCGCAUGAUUAGAUCACUCGAGAGAAGAUUACAUGACGCCGCGGAGCCUCGGGUCGGGAGGUACGGCCAACAAGAGAUACGUGGCCUUGUCACCAAAUUCAAGAGUUGGCUACAUGAUCAUGCAGGUACCGACCAGGAUGAGGCGGGCAAUAGUGACGACGAUGAUGAUGAAGAUUAUUAUUACGACGACGAUGACGGUACCGACCAAGCAGAGUGGGGACGAGGAGGAGGAGGGGGGCAGCCAACCUUGAAUCUCUUCCUUCGGUCAUGCCUCUGUCUCUCUUUUUUUCCCACUUAUAUCCACAUGUGCCCAUUAUUUAUAUUGGCAUCAGGCGGAUGCCACUUAACUAAUUACUCUUCUCAUUUUGUAUUUUAG
rnacentral:rRNA from 1 species